GGGGUGUUGAGAGAGACAGCAGUUUUGAUUAGAACUUGUACAUUAAUGUAUUCAUUCUGGUACAAUACUGUUUCUAUAGUAACACUGGGAUGUGUGAGGAGAUGCUUCUAAUAUUACUCUCCAGCGUCUUUGUACUGUACGUUGUGAUGAAGCAACAACUUGUUUCAGAGAACUUCAACAACGUUGAAUGCAACUAUAAACGGAUAAAAGUUCAUGUGCUAAUAAAAUUGUAUCUUGUAUCUUCAACGAAAUCACCUCCUUUAAAAACUACUAACCUUUCAAUUUAUUUUUAACAAUGUCACAAAUACAGAACUCAGCUGCAUCAAUACAUACAAUAAAACCAAACCAAAAUAAAUCUGAUUCCAGUCUAUGGCUGAUGUAUCGAUAUGGAGUUUUGCCAUAUCUUCUCUUGUGUUUCAUUCCCCCGUGUGUUUCUCCGUGACAUUUCAAGAACGUGUACGUCACCAAAAAAAAAAAAAAAGACAAGAAGGAGUAUUAAUGAUGCUCACAUUCUAAACACUACAGAAAGACGUCUGUGACACGGGGCUGGUUUUUCUGUCACAGAUUAAACCUGCCUGCUAAAUUAACCGGCCUUUUGUGAUUCAUUCGUAGCGCAGCACUUUGCUGGCAGUUUGAGUUCACAAGUCAUCGUGUUACAAGAGAUAGGACCGUGAUGUAUUACCUGGAGCGGUCAGCUUCUCCGAGGACGCGCCGCUCACCUACGUGUCAUUACUGUAAAGGUCAAAGAAAUGGAUGGAUCUUUUCAAGCUUCAUCUUUCUCUGUCUCUCUCUCUCUCUCACAUCCCUCGUCGUCCUCCUCGCCUCCUAACCUAAUAUCCAAGUAGAGCGAAGAGAAGAGCAGGAAAUGGGCGUUGAGACACAAAAUAACAGACACAGCUCAGACAUGAAGAUGAAAUGUCUUUUCCUACAAUACGUAUGGAAUGGAAUAUAACGGCUCUUACAGCAGGUGUAAUUUCCUGUCAGUCUUUUUUCUCGCUCCGUUCCCUGUUCACACCUGAAUUUAAUUAGAUGCUCAUUUAUGGCUGGGAAGGUCUCCGCCAAACCUAGUCCCAGAAACCCCCCGGAGAAGAACAUGACUAAACAGUAGUACAGGCAACACAAUGUUUUGUUUUUGUUUUAAUGAUUUGGCGGUCGGAGCUCGGUGGCCGAGGCCUCGGUGUAAUAAAGUUGUGUGGUGGUGGACUGACUUGACAGCUUGUGUGUGCUGGAAAGAGACCCACAACAAGUUUAAUAACGCGGAGACGGAGUGAUGCGGAGCGCCAGAUUAAUACAGACACACCUCCACGGAACGGCGGAGAAAAGAAAGCCGGCAUUAACCGCACGCAGGCGGUUUUUUUUGGCAACCUCGACAGGAGACGACAGAGGAACAGUAACGUCAGCAGAGGUAAUAAAGGAGCAGGAUGGAGAGUCGAGUCAAGUCAAGGAUAUUCAACAAACAACUCUUUAUUUUUUCCCCUCGUUUUCUUUGCUCCUUUGCACAAACGCAGAGGUACUUAAUGCUUUCAUUCGUGUCCUUGAAUGCGCUCUGGUCAGGAGUCCAACAGUACUCUGACUUCCUUUGUUCCUUAAUCCUUUAGACUCAAAGCUCGACCCUGAAAUUAAAAUGUUUCUAAGCUGAGAGUAGAAAAUCUUCCUGCACUCAGCUUUCCCAAAAAUGUGCUCAAUGGCCACUUUAAUAGGAACACCUAUGCAAUUUCCCAGUCAGUCAGCCAGCCAGCCAGCCAUGUGUCAGUGGUGCAGAUACAUGGCAAGAGCUUCAGUUAAUAUUCAUAAUGUAUCAAACAUCACAACAAAGGAACACAAAAUGUGAUUUCAGUGACUUACCGUGUCACGGCGGGGGUUUGUUUGAAAUUCCACGAUGAUCAGUGGUUUCUAGAACGUUCAAACACAGCAAUCUGAGAACGGUGAGAAAAACAACAAGAAAAAGCAUUCAAGUGAGCAGCAGGUGUGUGAAUAGAGACACCUUGAUGAGAGAGAGGUCAGAAGAGACAACCGACCUGGAGAUACCUGGGAUUGUGUGGACGGUGCCACUUAGAGACCAUAAAGAUGGCUUUGGACUGUAAUUGCCACAAACAGGUCUGCACUCAAAUCUCCAUCAGCGACCAGUUCAACAGAAUAACAAGGAGACAGACGUGAUGUUAAAGCUAGAAGGAGUUACCCAGUUUCCCAGUUACAGUUAUAGAAGGGAAAAGAUUUAUAAUCACACUCUCCGGUGUCACCCACAUGAGGACGAGGUUCCUCUAAAGAUUUCUUCCUCGUAUCGUCGCCUCUGGCUUGUAAAAAUGGAAUAAAUAAAAUGGAAAUAUUUCUUUAA